rnacentral:rRNA from 1 species
AACACGUGUGCAACCUGCCUUUAUCUGGGGGAUAGCCUUUCGAAAGGAAGAUUAAUACCCCAUAAUAUAAUGAAUGGCAUCAUUUAUUAUUGAAAACUCCGGUGGAUAGAGAUGGGCACGCGCAAGAUUAGAUAGUUGGUGAGGUAACGGCUCACCAAGUCGAUGAUCUUUAGGGGGCCUGAGAGGGUGAUCCCCCACACUGGUACUGAGACACGGACCAGACUCCUACGGGAGGCAGCAGUGAGGAAUAUUGGACAAUGGGUUAGCGCCUGAUCCAGCCAUCCCGCGUGAAGGACGACAGCCCUAUGGGUUGUAAACUUCUUUUGUACAGGGAUAAACCUACUCUCGUGAGAGUAGCUGAAGGUACUGUACGAAUAAGCACCGGCUAACUCCGUGCCAGCAGCCGCGGUAAUACGGAGGGUGCAAGCGUUAUCCGGAUUUAUUGGGUUUAAAGGGUCCGUAGGCGGAUCUGUAAGUCAGUGGUGAAAUCUCACAGCUUAACUGUGAAACUGCCAUUGAUACUGCAGGUCUUGAGUAAGGUAGAAGUGGCUGGAAUAAGUAGUGUAGCGGUGAAAUGCAUAGAUAUUACUUAG